CUAAGCCGCCGGGCGGCGACAUGGCUUUGCUGCAGCAAUUGCCAAAGCCUUCUUAUCUUCUUCUGCAUCUUCUUCUUCUUCUAAGGAAGCAGCCAGUCACUCACUGAUCAGACACACAUCCACGAGCAGGAGCAGCAGCAGCAGCAGUGCUUGCGGGUAACAUCAGCAGCAAGAGGUAGAUGAUAAGCACGGAGACGGACACUCUUCUUCUCUAAGCGGACGCCUUGUCGAACUUGAGGGGCUUCACCACCUCCCAGGUGAAGUCGGUGUCGUCGCGCCCGAAGUGACCGUAGGCCGCGGUCUUGAUGAACCUGUUGCCGCCCUUCUUGAGGUCGAGGUUGAUGGUGAUCAUCCCGGGCCUGAAGUCGAAGUUCUCCUUCACGAUCUUGAGGAUCUCCUUGUCGGGGAUCUUGCCGGUGCCGUACGAGUCGACGAACACCGACAGGGGCUCGGGAACGCCGAUGGCGUAGGACACCUGCACGAGGCAGCGGCGGGCGAGGCCGCUGGCCACGAUGCUCUUGGCCGCCUGCCUGGCGAUGUAGGCGCCGCUGCGGUCAACCUUG
rnacentral:lncRNA from 1 species